AUAAACUAGUUGAACCGUGUACGGGGGUCUAAUAAAGCAAAGAAAACUCACCCCUGACUACUAACGCUCACUUCGAUCAUCAAUACUUACCUAACUGCAACUAUAAUUUUUCUGGUUCUGUCCGUCCGUCCAAGGGUUUUAGCAUUGAAUUGUUUUAGCCCUCAGCAUUGAGAGCACUUUGGAAAUGGUUUUUUAUUUAAUAACUAUCAUCAAGACGUAGAAAUUUAGAUAAUCAAGGUGGUGUUAUGAAUAUUGCAAAUAUUUCUAUUUUGUACGUCUUGGCAGCUUUGAAAAUAGUAGGUAAAUUGGAGGCGAAAAUGACUAUGACGUGUUUGCAAAAAAUGGUUAAAGGAUCCCCCACACCAACGCAGUACGGGGAUAAUGGGAAACCUGGAGUCAUUUUAUAAUUGACAUUCAAAUGAAUUAUUUCUCGUCUGACGAAGAAGAAGCACUUCUUUUAGUUGCCGUAGCAGAAAAAAACAGCAUCCAGCGCAUUCUAAAGGUCUGGAGAAUCUAAAGAAGCAGAAUACUAAUUCUUCCAAGAAUUUGAUGAAUCCAGAGAACCUGAAAAAUCGGAAAAUAUUAAAGAAACGAAAGAAAAAAAGAAUCUAAAACUCUAAAGGUAAGGUAUUUUUUCGAGAAGGAUUUAC